rnacentral:rRNA from 1 species
CCAUAGCGUAUAUUAAAGUUGUUGCAGUUAAAAAGCUCGUAGUUGGAUUUCUGGUGGGAGCGAUCGGUCUGGCGCUUAGCGCGAGUACUUGCAUCGUCUCCGGCCAUCCUUGGGGAGAGUCUGUCUGGCAUUAAGUUGUCGGGCAGAGGAUCCUCAUCGUUUACUGUGAAAAAAUUAGAGUGUUCAAAGCAGGCUUAUGCCGUUGAAUAUAUUAGCAUGGAAUAAUAAGAUAGGACUUUGGUACUAUUUUGUUGGUUUGCGCACCAAAGUAAUGAUUAAUAGGGACAGUUGGGGGUAUUCGUAUUCCGUUGUCAGAGGUGAAAUUCUUGGAUUUACGGAAGACGAACUACUGCGAAAGCAUUUACCAAGGAUGUUUUCAUUAA